GUGCUCACCACGGCAGCACAUAUGCUAAAACUGGAACGAUACCGAGAAGAUUAGCAUGGCUCCUGCACAAAAAUGACAUGCAAAUUCGUGAAGUAUUCUAUACUUUA
rnacentral:snRNA from 1 species